rnacentral:rRNA from 1 species
CAUGUUUGUGUAGGAUAGCUGGGAGGCUUUGAAACCAGGACGCCAGUUCUGGUGGAGCCAACCUUGAAAUACCAGCCUGACCUGUUUGAGGUUCUAACUUCGACCCCUUAUCGGGGUUAAGGACACUGUGUGGUGGGUAGUUUGACUGGGGCGGUCUCCUCCCAAAGCGUAACGGAGGAGCACGAAGGUGCGCUAAUCAUGGUCGGAAAUCAUGAGGUUAGUGUAAAGGCACAAGCGCGCUUGACUGCGAGACUGACAAGUCGAGCAGGUACGAAAGUAGGUCAUAGUGAUCCGGUGGUUCUGUAUGGAAGGGCCAUCGCUCAACGGAUAAAAGGUACGCCGGGGAUAACAGGCUGAUACUGCCCAAGAGUCCAUAUCGACGGCAGUGUUUGGCACCUCGAUGUCGGCUCAUCUCAUCCUGGGGCUGGAGCAGGUCCCAAGGGUACGGCUGUUCGCCGUUUAAAGAGGUACGUGAGCUGGGUUUAGAACGUCGUGAGACAGUUCGGU